GAAAGACGGGUUUCGGCUGUCACUACAAGAUGGGCCCGCGGCGCAUUAGCUAGUUGGUAGGGUAAUGGCCUACCAAGGCGACGAUGCGUAGCCGACCUGAGAGGGUGAUCGGCCACACUGGGACUGAGACACGGCCCAGACUCCUACGGGAGGCAGCAGUAGGGAAUCUUCCACAAUGGACGAAAGUCUGAUGGAGCAACGCCGCGUGAGUGAAGAAGGUUUUCGGAUCGUAAAACUCUGUUGUAAGGGAAGAACACGUACGAGAGUAACUGCUCGUACCUUGACGGUACCUUAUUAGAAAGCCACGGCUAACUACGUG
rnacentral:rRNA from 1 species